ACAUACAGACACAUUUGAUAUGACAUUCGUAGCGCCCAAUAAACGGCUCUAGGCAUUCGUAAACCACGUUUCAAAUAUGAGAAAAUUAACGUGUAGUUACCAG